AAUCACUGAAGGCCAGUACAUGAUAGAGCUGAGGCCACUGCUCAGUGGACCCCUAGCAGAGGUGGCAGCUGAAAUGCCUAAGGAGAACAUGAAUGAUUAUAAACUUUUUCAAACCAAGGCCAGAAUCAGAAUGGGGCUAAUACCUGAGCAUGCCCGUCGGAGGUUCAGAGCCUUAAGGUGGAAACCAGAUGUGUCAUUCACCUGACUUGCCUACCACAUUGGAAAGAAUUUUAAUGCCUGGGUAUCAGGAGCCAAUGUUAACUCUCUGGACGACAUGCACCUCCUAAUACAAUUGGAGCAGUUCUUAGAGGGUGGUCCUGAGGAAAUAGAAAGGUACAUCCUAGAUGGGAUGCCCAAAACUGUAACUGAGGCGGGGGAGAUUGGAGCCAGAUGGGUGGAAGUGGCAGAAAAGAAAAAAGCUACUAUCAAGGGGAGCGAAUAUCACAGGGGUCACACCGACAAUAAACCCUAUACCCGAGGGCAACCCAAGACCCCACCUACAGCCCAAGGAAAGCCGCCGACACCCUAUUCUCUCACCUCACCAAUCUCCAGUAACCCACCUCGGCCCAGUGACCAGUCAGCUGGGCGAUGCUUUAAGUGUAAUGAACUGGGACAUAUAAAGGCCAACUGCCCAAAGAACCCCAACCGAGUGCAGUUCAUUACACCACCAUCACACCAAAGAUCCCCAGGCCCAGAUGCCUCUCAAAUACCCUUGGAGCGAAGGGAAAUUUUGAGAGUGGGAGGAAAGAAGGUUGUCGCGUGGAGAGACACGGGGGCACAAGUGUCAGCUAUCCACCAAUCCUUCGUUGACCCCAAAUUCAUCAACCCAAAGGCCAAAGUUACAAUUUACCCCUUCAUGUCACAAGCUGUAGACUUGCCUACAGCUCAACUGCCUGUCCAGUACAAAGGCUGGUCAGGAAUGUGGACUUUUGCAGUCUAUGACAAUUAUCCUAUCCCCAUGCUACUGGGGGAAGACUUGGCCAACCAGGUGAAGCGGGCCAAGAGAGUGGGAAUGGUUACCCGUAGCCAAACCAGGCAAGCUUCCAGACCCAUUCCUGUUCCUGAGCCGUCCACAGAGGCCCCGUCUGUGUUACCAGAGACCCAGACAGAGGUAGUGGACCCGGAUCCCCUGCCUACAACUGCAACAGCCACAGUACCUCCAGUCCCAGACCCGGACCUGGAAACGCA
rnacentral:lncRNA from 1 species